rnacentral:rRNA from 1 species
UACGUAGGGUGCAAGCGUUAUCCGGAAUUAUUGGGCGUAAAGAGCUCGUAGGCGGUUUGUCGCGUCUGCUGUGAAAACUGGAGGCUCAACCUCCAGCCUGCAGUGGGUACGGGCAGACUAGAGUGCGGUAGGGGAGAUUGGAAUUCCUGGUGUAGCGGUGGAAUGCGCAGAUAUCAGGAGGAACACCAAUGGCGAAGGCAGCUCGCUGGGACGGUACUGACGCUGAGGCGCGAAAGCGUGGGGAGCAAACAGG